UACGGAGGGUGCGAGCGUUGUUCGGAAUUAUUGGGCGUAAAGCGCGUGUAGGCGGCCGGAUAUGUCAGAUGUGAAAGUCCCGGGCUCAACCUGGGAAGUGCAUUUGAAACUGUUCGGCUAGAGUAAGGGAGAGGAAAGUGGAAUUCCUGGUGUAGAGGUGAAAUUCGCAGAUAUCAGGAGGAACACCUGUGGCGAAGGCGGCUUUCUGGCCCUAUACUGACGCUGAGACGCGAAAGCGUGGGGAGCAAACAGG
rnacentral:rRNA from 1 species